CUACGGGUUGCAGCAGUGGGGAAUAUUGCACAAUGGGGGGAACCCUGAUGCAGCAACACCGCGUGGAGGAUGACACAUUUCGGUGCGUAAACUCCUUUUAUAUAAGAAGAUAAUGACGGUAUUAUAUGAAUAAGCACCGGCUAACUCCGUGCCAGCAGCCGCGGUAAUACGGGGGGUGCAAGCGUUACUCGGAAUCACUGGGCGUAAAGAGCAUGUAGGCUGGUUUGUAAGUUGGAAGUGAAAUCCUAUGGCUUAACCAUAGAACUGCUUCCAAAACUACUUACCUAGAAUAUGGGAGAGGUAGAUGGAAUUUCUGGUGUAGGGGUAAAAUCCGUAGAGAUCAGAAGGAAUACCGAUUGCGAAGGCGAUCUACUGGAACAUUACUGACGCUCAGAUGCGAAAGCGUGGGGAGCAAACAGGAUUAGAUACCCCCGUAGUC
rnacentral:rRNA from 1 species